AGGGGGAUAACGUUUGGAAACGAACGCUAAUACCGCAUAAACUAUCGAGUUUCGCAUGAAACUUAUAGCAAAGAUUUUAUCGGCAUAGGAUGGACCCGCGUUGGAUUAGCUAGUUGGUGAGAUAACAGCCCACCAAGGCAACGAUCCAUAGCCGGCCUGAGAGGGUGAACGGCCACAUUGGGACUGAGACACGGCCCAAACUCCUACGGGAGGCAGCAGUGGGGAAUAUUGCACAAUGGGCGCAAGCCUGAUGCAGCAACGCCGCGUGAAGGAUGAAGGUCUUCGGAUUGUAAACUUCUAUCAGUAGGGAAGAAUAAAUGACGGUACCUAACUAAGAAGCUCCGGCUAACUACGUGCCAGCAGCCGCGGUUAAUACGUAGGGAGCAAGCGUUAUCCGGAUUUACUGGGUGUAAAGGGUGCGUAGGCGGCUUAUUAAGUCAGAAGUGAAAUUUCGGGGCUCAACCCCGGAGCUGCUUCUGAAACUGGUGAGCUAGAGUGUGGGAGAGGAAAGUGGAACUUUGAGUGUAGCGGUGAAAUGCGUAGAGAUUCAAAGGAACACCAGUAGCGAAGGCGGCUUUCUGGACCAUAU
rnacentral:rRNA from 1 species